GAAGUAACAAGGAAGAAGGGUCAGUUUAUGUUAUGCACUAAGCACAAAAAAUGAUGCCAUUGAGAAUAAUUGAUCUGCUAUGAGUAAAAGAGAGCAUUUGUACUGUUGAGUUUGAUUUAUUAAUUCGAUGGGGUACAGCCUGUUGGAGCUAUGCAAGUGCUGAUCAUCAUUUCUCAGAGUAAAGAACUGAGCAUUUGUCCUCUACGCACAAAAGCUAGAUAGAGAUUCUUUUGGUUGCUGCAGCGCAUGCAAUUCUAUACGAGUAUGUCACCAACUGGUUCAGAUUGGAUGAGUCCAUGUACCAUUGAGCUCUCAAUGACUACUACGAUAGCACCGGUUCAGCUGCUACCAACAUAAAUGUGGCUAUGUUGGAAGAUGAUACAGGAAAUGUUCAUGCCGCUCUAAGCCAUUUGCACGAAGUACUAUUAUUAGUAGUUACAGAAGCUGGCACUUACAUGGGUGCAUGUUGGUGCCUUCUAGAGAUUAAGGUUCCUGUUUAUCUAAUGCAAAUUUUGCUGCCUAUAUGGCGCAAGAUUGCUUUGCAAUUCUCUUGGACACUAGGAUUGAUUGUGUUGUUUGGUUCUGGUAUCUAAGGAUCUCUUGUGCUGAAACAUUGCGGUGAUUUGCCAAGUGUUUGUGGUUCUUUUUUACU